rnacentral:rRNA from 1 species
UAAAGACUAAGCCAUGCAUGUCUUCGAAUAAGAGGAAGCAAUUCUCUCUGAAUCUGCGUACGGCUCCGCACACCAGUUGUAAACCAAAGCAAGCAAGCCCGGUCUCGACGCCUUUCGGGGCUAGGGGCCGGGCUACAAGGAUAACCCUGGUAAUUCUGAGGCUAAUACUUGACACCUAACCUGUCGACUGGGUCUCGGCCCGGGAAGCGGGGGAUGUGCGACUAUCGGGCCAACAAAACCGGAAAGAGCGCACGUUCAGACCACUUAAAAAGGCCACGGGGUCCCUCGGGACCUCGGGGCUGUGGCUCUUGCAGCGUGCUUCUGACCUAUCAACUAGACGGCAGCCUAAGGGACAUGCUUUGGUGACAACGGGUACAGAGGAUAAGGGUUCGAUCCUGGAGAGUGGGCCUGAGAGAUUGCUCAUACUUCUAAGGAAGGCAGCAGGCGCGCAACGUUCCCAUUGGACAUCGUCUGAGGGCGUUAGGGGAAAUAUUAAUACCUGCCCAAUGGGUGGGUAAUUAAAAUGGGUCUGUUCUAAACAGGCUCUCGAGUAACAAUUAGAGGACAAGUCUGGUGCCAGCACCCGCGGUAAUUCCAGCUCUAAUAGCAUACGUUAAAGUUGUUGCAGUUAAAACGCUCGUAGUCGGCUUCAGACCACUGGAUGCGGAUGGCGGAGACCUGGAAUGUGCCCCUCAAAGGGUGCGCUGGGCGACUGACAAAUGCGGAAGGUGGUCAAACGUGCCUACAACGUGCCCGGCUCCGGCUGGGAUUUACAAGGCUUGUUCUGCCCUCAAAAGCGGUUCUUGCCCGGUUGUAGGUGCCAAUUACCAUGAAUAAACCAGAGUGCUCCAAGCAGGCCAAUCGGUCUUGCAUGGCACAGCAUGGUAUAAGACCAGCAGGGGCUAGCUUUUGCUCGGGUUAGCCCCCUGGACUAAGCAAAAGGGGUGUUCGAGGGUGACCGAAUUGCCGGGCGAGUGGUGAAAUACGUUGACCCUGGCAAGUCGACCUAUGGCGAAAGCUGUCAUCAAGGGCACGCCCGUUGAUCAAGAGCGAAAGUUAAGGGUUCGAAGACGAUCAGAUACCGUUGUAGUCUUAACUAUAAACGAUACUGACUAGGGAUAGGGCAAUGUCCAUUCCGACUCCCCCUGAACUUCGGAGAAAUUAAAGUCUUUGAGUUCCGGGGGGAGUAUGGUCGCAAGGCUGAAACUUAAAGGAAUUGACGGAAGGGCACACAAAGAGUGGAACCUGCGGCUUAAUUUGACUCAACACGGGAAAACUCACCAGGUCAGGAUACAUGUAUGAAAGACAAGCUGAUAGACUUUUCUCAAUAACGUAAGUGGUGGUGCAUGGCCGUUCUUAGUUCGUGGAGUGAUUCGUCUGGUCUAUUCCGAUAACGAGCGAGACAGCAGCGAACUAAAUAGGACCUGGUGCUUCAAGUCGGCCUCUUCGGGGGUCUUCUGCCGGCAGCUGGUCAAUUCAACUACUUAGUCGGAUUGGAGCCGAUAAGGCUUCUGAAAUGCGUCAAUAACAGGUCAGUCAUGCCCUUAGAUGUUCUGGGCCGCACGCGCGUUACAAUGGCAUAAAGAGCGAGUAUUCAUUACGAGUAUUUCCGCGGCCUUCGGGCCGUGGUAAUCAGUAAACUCCGCCUUGACUGGGAUAGACUAUUGUAAUUAUUGGUCUUGAACGAGGAAUUUUUAGUAGUCGUGCGUCAUCAGCGCGCGACGAAUGCGUCCCUGCCCUUUGUACACACCGCCCGUCGCUGCUACCGAUUGGGUUUUACGGUUACGUGUUCGGAGGCUAUGGGAACCGCUCUUCACGGGGCUGGGAACCACUGCCAAAGUUCCAAUUACCGUACGGCCUAGAGGAAGCAGAAGUC